rnacentral:rRNA from 1 species
UACGGGGGGGGCAAGCGUUGUUCGGAAUUACUGGGCGUAAAGGGCUCGUAGGCGGCCAACUAAGUCAGACGUGAAAUCCCUCGGCUUAACCGGGGAACUGCGUCUGAAACUGUACGGCUUGAGGCCGGGAGGGGGUAGCGGAAUUCCCAGUGUAGCGGUGAAAUGCGUAGAUACUGGGAGGAACACCAGUGGCGAAGGCGGCUACCUGGACCGGUUCUGACGCUGAGGCGCGAAAGCGUGGGUAGCAAACAGG